UCAGAAUAAGCUAUCUUUAAAGCAGAAUGAUCCUGGUAAUUUUACCAUUGCUUGUGUGAUUGGACGGCUAACCUUUUCAGAGGUGUUAUAGGACUUAGAGGCUUCCAUUAGUUUGAUCCCCCUCUUUGUUUUUCCACGGUGUGGGGAUAGAUUGAACCAUGAGGUAUCGUCGAGCUCUAUACAUUAAAUUAAGCACUUGUUAGGAGGUAACCCAACUAUUUUUCUUGCUUUUGUUUUCUUUUCCUAUUUUUUUGUUUCUUUUCAUUUUCGCUUUUUUGGGGGAGGAGAUCGCAACAGAAUUUAGCAGGAUGCAGAUUUCAAGCUUUGUUGACUCCAAACUCUACAUUCCUACCUUUGAGCACGGUAUUCUAUGAAUAGUGACACAUAUAUCUUUUUUUCUUUUCUUUUUUUUCCCUUCCCUCCAAACUUAUUUUCGAACAUGUUGUUCUGUAAUGAGUUUGGGGAAGGGAGGUAAAAGUAGAUAUGCACUUUUUUUCUCUUGAUUGUUUUGUUUUUAUAAUUCAGCUUAGUUUGGUUGGUGUUUGAUGAGUUGUAUGCUCCAUUAUAUUUUGGUAAGGUGUCGAUGAUGAUUUCUUUAAAAGUUGUGAGUUCUCA
rnacentral:lncRNA from 1 species